AUUGAACGCUGGCGGCAGGCCUAACACAUGCAAGUCGAACGAGUGGCGGACGGGUGAGUAAUGUCUGGGACACUGCCUGAUGGAGGGGGAUAACUACUGGAAACGGUAGCUAAUACCGCAUACCAUCGGAUGUGCCCAGAUGGGAUUAGCUAGUAGGGGGGGUAAAGGCUCACCUAGGCGACGAUCCCUAGCUGGUCUGAGAGGAUGACCAGCCACACUGGGACGGAGACACGGUCCCGACGCCUACGGGAGGCAGCAGUGGGGAAUAUGGCACAGUGGGCGAAAGCCUGAUGCAGCCAUGCAGAGUGUAUGAAGAAGGCCUUCGGGUUGUAAAGUACUUUCAGCGGGGAGGCGUUACCCGCAGAAGAAGCACCGGCUAACUCCGUGCCAGCAGCCGCGGUAAUUC
rnacentral:rRNA from 1 species